rnacentral:lncRNA from 1 species
AUCACCUCUAUAUAUUUCAUCAGCCUCCUUCGUGGUAACAUAAUACAUCUAGUGCAAACAGCAAAAAAAAAACUAAAAAGGUACAUUCUUGUUAGAACUAUUUAAAAGCCAAGAAGGUAAAUAAUUAUUCACAAUUUUAAUUUGAUAUAUUAUAAAUAAUUAUUUUUUUGAUUUUUUAUUAAAAUAAUAAAAUUUAAUGCACUAAUGAUAGCAGGAAAAGCCAUCAAAGAGCUAAAUUUGUUGGAGGGAAAAAUGAAGGGAUGGAAUGCAGAAGUCCAAGAGAAGUGAUCCAGUCCCAAAAGCCAAAGCCAUCACCUCCAUCUAUUUCAUCAACCUCCUCAGUGGUAGCAUAAUACAUCUCCUAGAAACUGCAAAAGUAAAAUCCUUUCAAAAUUUUCUUUGAAGUACCUAGCAUCAAGUGCAUUUCAUUUCUUCACCAAGUGUAUUGCAUUUUGUUGCUGUUUAAAUCAAUCGAGACCGAAAGACGAACAUUUAA